GUGAAGCAAAUCCAACUUAUAUAGACGCCAUCGGCAUCCCUCGUGGGGUCCAUAAUAAGUAUAAAUUAGCAAAUCAAAUAGCUGCAGGUUUUGAAUCGAUUAUCUGCUGGUGGUGCACGAGCAAUAAAAAUGUAGACAGGAUCAAUUACAUCCACUACAACAUCCAGAGAUUAGGUAAUUGGACAAAAGCGGUUUUGAAGCAGUACACGAUCAGUUAGCUGCAACUUCUCUGCUGGCUUUCCAGAACAGAAUAGCUCUCGACAUGCUGCUGGCAGAAAAAGGAGGUGUUUGUGCUAUUUUUGGAGAACAGUGCUGCACAUUCAUUCCUAACAACACCGCUGCUGAUGGUAGCCUGACCAAGGCUAUAGAGGGUCUGCGCACUCUCAAUAAGAAGAUGAAAGAGCAUUCUGGGAUAGACACUACCAUGUGGGAUCACUAGUUGGACGUGUUUGGGAAGUAUAAAACACUGGUCGCAUCAAUUGUAGUUUCCAUUGCAGUGUUUACUGCUAUUCUGGUAUUGUGUGGAUGUUGUUUUAUUCCCUGUCUGCGUUCUUUGUUGAAUUGUCUCAUUACUACAGCAAUUUCACCCAUGGAGGACAAAAUGGCACAGAUGUAUCCCCUAUUAGCCCACGAUGACAAUGAUGAAAACAACAGUGAGGAGCCAGAAAGCCUGCAGAAAGCAGAGAAAUGUGUUGUGACGAUAAGUGUUUUUCUAAAUAUGUCUGAAACUGUGAUGAACUGUAUUUGGAGUGCUUAUGUAUAAAUGUACUGUGUGGACUGCUUAGUAUUAUCUCUGUGUUCCUAAGGUCACAGAGUGUUUUGCUUAUCCCUACCCCUUAGCUUGACAAUGUAACCAGGGUUUCCCUAAUAAAAGCAAGGAGGGGACAGAGUGUCUUCAGAGCGAGUUUGGAGAUCUGUAUUAAGCGUCUAAGCUCCUCUCCUUGCAAGAUUUAUGAAAACUAA